GAAGCGUAGACCUCCCCAGCCGCAAAAAGCAAUUCACGCGGCGAAACCGCGGACUCUUUUGACCCUUCCGAGCUACCAUUUACUUUCCAUAGAAGGGCGGGACUUCCUGUUUCGCUUUUAUCUGGUCUCGCUCUUCCGCCCAGUCUCGAGUGCAGUGGUGAGAACACGGCUUACUGCAGCCUCAAAAUCCUGGACCCAAAAGAUCCUCCCACCUCAGCCUGCCUCCCAGGUAGCUGGGACUACAGGCGCACAACACCAUCGCUUCUUGGAUUAAAAGAAAAGGAUGAAACGGGCCCCAGAAAGAGGCGGUGACGUCCCAGAACCCUUGGCAGGGGAGUUGGGAAAAUAAAUAUUUGUAUUGUUUUAA